GUGCAGUCGGAAGACAUAAUUAUCGAUGUUGGUGUGCAGGCUACGGACCUUGACCAGUCCAACCAGAGAUCCGACGAUACUCAAAACCAUUCUGAAGUGAACGGAGGUGUGUUGGUCAGUGGACAGGAAAUCCGGUUGAACAAGAUCUAACCCAUCCCAACCGCUCUUAUCCAUGACAGAACUUCACAAUAACGUGAAAGAAUUAAAAUCUAGCGAAAGCUAGACUUGUGCUGCCGUCUGAUGAUGUCCCAACCACAGCAGCUCACUACAUGGAUCCUUACAUCAUCUACAGAGUACAUAGUUGUGCAACUUACACAGUUUGCUGUCCCAGGCUGCAUGAAAUAUUUAGGACAUGUUUGAAAGGCUGAAGAGAGAAGAUAAGAGAAACUGGUAAAUGACAAGAAGUGAGAAGAUAAGAGAAGCCUAUCUACCUUAUAGGAUCACCGACUAGGCUGUUGGCGGUGACGAGGAGGCAGAAGCCGAAGAGCAAGGUGGCUGUAAGGCGG